rnacentral:rRNA from 1 species
UACGUAGGGUGCAAGCGUUAAUCGGAAUUACUGGGCGUAAAGCGUGCGCAGGCGGUUUUGUAAGUCUGACGUAAAAUCCCCGGGCUCAACCUGGGAAUUGCGUUGGAGACUGCAAGGCUAGAAUCUGGCAGAGGGGGGUAGAAUUCCACGUGUAGCAGUGAAAUGCGUAGAGAUGUGGAGGAACACCGAUGGCGAAGGCAGCCCCCUGGGUCAAGAUUGACGCUCAUGCACGAAAGCGCGGG